AAAGUAUUUUUUAAAUGAUAGAAAAGAAGAUGGGUGUCAUUUCCUACAAACAAUAUUUUGUAGAAUAAAUUAUACAUGAGUGAACUUACUUGUUUUAUUAAGUAUAGAUAAUAAUAUGCCAAAUGUUUUAUCAUCCUGAAAAUUUCCCUAAAAUAUAUUUGGUUCAUAGUACACUUCUAUAUAAGCUGUCCAUUUCCUUGUAGAUGUGCCCCAUCCUUAGCUUGAGAGUUGCAUGUGGCCAUGGAAACCUAUAAAUGCAACCCAACAUAGCUUUGUGAACUUACUGAACACCCAAUACAAAUAUUGAUUAUUUUGUAGUAGGGAAUUGUUUUUAUUGAGCAUGGACUUUGUAAAUUAUUUUUCAAGUGAUAAUGUAAAAAUUUUGGACAUUGGACAUUGAGGUUUGCCUUUGGAAUUUUGAGAAUUACUAAGGUCUUCAUAAGCAUUCAAACACUUCAUUUGUAAAAUAUGGGUAGUUUUUGGUUGGUUGGUUUGAUUUGAUUUGUUUUUUGCCGUUGCAUGCUGUUUAUCAACAGAUUUCCCUAAAUUUAUAUACUCUAACAAGUAAACGCUUAAUGUAUAAUUUUCUUGAUGGUCUCAUGAACACAUAGUAGCAACCAGAAAAUCAGAAAUACAGAGAGAUCAACAACAAGGCAGCCAAAGACAGUGAGGUUUUACUUUUCUAUAAGGAUUUCUGAAACUUUAACUUUGAAAUGAAAAAGGGAAAAAGUAAAUAAAUAUUUUUCUAUUAUCCUCCAUCAUAGGGUUAUAUAAAAUUGAAUGUUUUAACUAUAUUUGUUACAUGAAAAUUCCAUGCUAAAUUUAUAUUGAAAUUAACCAUUUUUCUUACAAACUAGAGUCCCCUAUAUCAAUGAUAACUAUAAUGACUCCCCUACCAUUCUCUUUGAAUUUACUUACAAUUUAGAACUUGAACACUUUACAUAUUGUUUUAUGCUUGUUUGUUUAUGAAUUUUUGUUUUUUGUUUGUUAACAGUUGUGGUGUUCCUGUGGUUUGGUGGAACCAAUUGCUCAUCUCUUAGGCUCUGAAAGCUUACAAAAAAUUUUGAUGGCUUUCUCCACUCCAGUUCCUGAAUAAUAUCUCAUUUCCUAAAUAUAAAAAAUAUCAUUUUAGUAUUCAUGUCAAGUCCUGAUGUUCAUUUUUCAUUUCUCUGUACGUUAAUGAGUUCUAACAGGAACAAUGUUCAUAAAGUUGUCUUUUGCCAACAGACCUGCUACGGCAUUCAGAGCUAGAGGCAAGCUACAGCAUUAAGGAGAUUUAUUGUAAGCCAAGUCUCUAAAGUGUGUGUUGAAAUACUAAAUACAUCCCUGUGUGUUUUGCAGACAAUCCUGAUUUGCUGAGCCAUGUCUCCGUGGGUAUUAGAGUUCUGGAUGUCAAUGACAAUCCACCUGAACUUGCCAGGGAAUAUGAUAUUGUUGUCUGUGAGAAUUCUAAGCCUGGUCAGGUAAGUUAAUUCUUUUCUUCCUACCGUCUGAGUGGAAGAAAAAUAAGCAGCUUUACUUCUAUUAUUGCUAGCUAUUAUCCCCCAAAUCCCUCAGUGUCAUUUUUAUGUUCAGUGGCAACCAUUUUAUAAGGUUUUAAAAACUAAUAGAUAACUUUUGAGCAUCCUACAAAAUGAAUUUUCCCCAAAUCACAAUGUAAUUCGGAACAGUGAGCUCAUUUAGGUAUGAUUCAUUCAUCAUGCCAAUAAAAUUGUCUUGAAUGGUCUAGGUACAGUCCUACAUUCAGUGAGAAGCAAACACUGUCUUCUCAUGGUCUGAGGAAGCUUAGAGAUCUUAUCUGGGAAGAGAGUACAGAUCAUAUCAUUUUGGGACUCUAAAGAAGUGACACAUAUGAUGAGAUACUGGUUAUGAAAGGUGCUUGUAUACUUGUGUGUGUGUGUGUUUGUGUGUGUGUGAGAGAGAGAGACAGAGACAGAGACAGAGAGACACAGAGAGAGAGGAGAUGGUGUGUUUACACUGUAAAAAACCUCUAUGCUAUAUAGGAUGAGGAGAGUAAGUAAAAGACAGACAGAGACAGAGGCUCAAUAAACGUUGGCCUCCAUUAAAAGAGAUACAGGUGAAGGAUAGCUGGAGUCGCCGAGGCAAGCAAACCAGUGGAAGUGAGCAUCCAUCCUACAAUCUUACAAGCACUAUGACAAAAUAACUCACACCCAAAGCGAGGUGCAGGGAUUUCCUUGGUUGCUGUGACUCACACAAACAAAUGCAUGACGUCCUUGGGUUUUCUUAGAGACCAGAAGAGUGUCAGAACAAUAGCAUUCUUGUUCUCAGGCAAGGCAUAGAAAUCGAUUGAGUCUCAUAGAAUUACUUGCUGCCUCAAUUUACAUCACAAUGGAGAAUUCCAGAAGUUUUCAUAGCUACUAAGUCAUAAGAUUAUGAGAUAGGAUACCUAGCUUCUUGCUAUAUGGCCCUUCACAAAUACAAUUGCUUACUCUGUCUUCUGGGUGAAAUACACGUCUCCGGCAUAUAGCAGCACAGUUGUCUCACAAUGUAAUCAGCUGAGACACAUCAGUGCUUUCAGCAGAUUUGGCUGGUAGUUAUAGAUAUAUGUGUUAUUCACACUUAAAGAGAAAUGGUCAGAGAAUAGUAUGUUUUUUUGGAGCAUGCCUUUAUAAUUACCACCUACAGGUAAAUCCAGGAAGGGAGAACGUGUCAAACUCCUAUAUCAAACAAACUUAGUGCUACAUGGAUCCAUCAAAAUGAGUUGAUCACUCAAAUUUAAUUAAAAUUUUUGACAUUUAUAAAGAAAUGAUACUUGUUCUUCCAGGUGGAUAUUAGGGAAGAUCAAUAGUAUUUUCUGACACUAAACACUGUUUAUGCAUUUUUAAUAUGGAGAGGAGGAUAUAGAGAUAUGUGUUUAGUCUAAAGCACACAAGUUUUAGACUCACAGGAAUAUAGAACCAGAAAACAUAUCAAUGUUUGCUGGAGAGUAAAGAACUGAGGGAAACAACAGUGCUCUUAUGACCAAUAUCCAAAAAUGGCAGUAUUAUGUAAUAGAUUUAAGAUGAUACAAAUGUUCUGGACCAGGUCCUUAUCAAUUCUAAAGCAUGUGUGGUGCAUUAUUUUCUAGGAUAUCACUUCUAAGGGAAAGAAAAAAAAAUGCAUGAAACAUACAGGUAUAAAUUUGUGUAACUACAGAUGAUCCUCAGGUAAAUAUAAAUGUAACAAUGUAUCCAUAACACAAUCUAAGGAAGAAUAGUACUAUAAGCUGAUGAUGCUUCAUGAGAAAAUGUAAAAUCAAGAAUAAAAAGGGAUCUUUGAAACCAACUAUGUGAUGGAAACAGCCAUAAGUUACAUAUUUGACAUCAUCUUUUGAAGUAAUAGUGCAAAGAAAACCCAAUACAAGGCAAGCUCUCAUUACAAAUAAAAAACAAAACUGUUUAAAAUAAAAUGAAAAAAUAGCAAUACUAUUCUAAAAGUAUGAGGUAAACAGCAUAUGUAUAAAACCAAUUAAUUUAUUAGUAGUAGAAUAGACAAUGUCAGGAUCAGUUUUAGGCUCAGUAUAUACAGAGUUUUAUGGCCUAAGAAAUUCCAUUGAAAUAAGUUAAUGAGCUAUUGUACAACAGAUUCAUAACCCAACUUAAUAUAAUUAUGGAAAAUAAUAAAAACUCAAAACAUAGAUAAUUAUAUAUAUGUAUACAUAUAUACACAUAUAAUCACAGAAAAGUAAACUUUAUCAAAUAAAAUAUUUGAUCUACAGAGGCAUAUUUCAUUAUCACU
rnacentral:lncRNA from 1 species